CCAUAGUCCCUUACAUAUCAGCCAUCUCUGAUGAGUGUAAAGUCAUAUAAUCAGAUUGUUACGUAACACUCCAUUGUAUUCUUUACACGAAACUAAUUGAUAUAUAUAUUAU